rnacentral:tRNA from 1 species
GGUGGUAUAGCUCAGUGGUAGAGUGUGUGCUUAGCAUGCACAAGGUCCUGGUUUCAAUCCCCAGCGGCUCCA